rnacentral:rRNA from 1 species
UACGUAGGGGGCAAGCGUUGUCCGGAAUCAUUGGGCGUAAAGCGCGCGUAGGCGGCCCGGUAAGUCCGCUGUGAAAGUCAAAGGCUCAACCUUUGAAUGCCGGUGGAUACUGUCGGGCUAGAGUCCGGAAGAGGCGAGUGGAAUUCCUGGUGUAGCGGUGGAAUGCGCAGAUAUCAGGAGGAACACCGGUGGCGAAGACGGGUCUCUGGGCAGUAACUGACGCUGAGGAGCGAAAGCGUGGGGAGCGAACAGG